CGAACGGGCGUAGCAAUACGUCAGUGGCAGACGGGUGAGUAACACGUGGGAACGUACCUUUUGGUUCGGAACAACUGAGGGAAACUUCAGCUAAUACCGGAUAAGCCCUAACGGGGAAAGAUUUAUCGCCGAAAGAUCGGCCCGCGUCUGAUUAGCUAGUUGGUGGGGUAAUGGCCCACCAAGGCGACGAUCAGUAGCUGGUCUGAGAGGAUGAUCAGCCACAUUGGGACUGAGACACGGCCCAAACUCCUACGGGAGGCAGCAGGU
rnacentral:rRNA from 1 species